rnacentral:rRNA from 1 species
GACGAACGCUGGCGGCAUGCCUUACACAUGCAAGUCGAACGGCAGCACGGGGGCAACCCUGGUGGCGAGUGGCGAACGGGUGAGUAACACAUCGGAACGUGCCCAGUAGUGGGGGAUAGCUCGGCGAAAGCCGGAUUAAUACCGCAUACGACCUACGGGUGAAAGCGGGGGAUCGCAAGACCUUGCGCUAUUGGAGCGGCCGAUGUCAGAUUAGGUUGUUGGUGGGGUAAAGGCCUACCAAGCCGACGAUCUGUAGCUGGUCUGAGAGGACGACCAGCCACACUGGGACUGAGACACGGCCCAGACUCCUACGGGAGGCAGCAGUGGGGAAUUUUGGACAAUGGGCGCAA